GAAAUAGGGCAUCAGCUAACGGAGGUCAGUAAGUAGCGGAGUAAUGAGGAUCUUUAUACUUAAUUUGGUUAGUGAAACAAUAACAUAUACACACACACACAGAAACACACUCGUACUUUCAGCAUAUGUAGAACGACUGAGAGCUGAUCAUUAACACGUUGGGUUUACUGUGAAAGGUCAGCUUUUUCGUAUGAAUGUCAGAGAGUGACUGAUUAUGUCACAGGAGUCACACGUUACCUUAUUCUGUACGUUCACCAGAAGGAAAACAAGCUGAAAAUACCUGUUUUCUUUGCUUUAUUGACAACGCUCAAAUAUAUCUGUGCAAUUCAACUUGUAACUUACUAGAACAAUUACCGUGAGUAAAUAUAUUGAGAUCCAAAAUAUCUGAUACCAUUUUGUAUGCUAUUGGAUAUGACGGACUAUGACAUUUAGCACAUGACACAAACAACGACUAAUCAGCACAGCAAACGAUUUGUUGCACUGAGUUGAUGAAACAGUGUUGGUUGGUCCACUACUGUUGAUUAUUAAGGUAUAUAAGUAAUGUAAUAUAAGAAGAAAAAAGAAAAGAAAAGAAAAAUCACAUCUUUGGAUGAAAUUGAAAUCUGACUUUUUCCAUCUAUUUUAGGGACCGGCCUUAAUUUGAGUGACAACGAGUCAUUACCUGGAAGCCACGACGGAGGGAGCAUAAACAACUCCCAAAUAGUUGAACUGAGACGAAUCCCCAUCGCCGACACACACCUCUAACCUGUCCCCCUCACACACUCCCAAGACCUCUACUCUUCACAAAAAUUACAACACAGUAUUUUUAUAUUAUGAAAUGGUUUUGCACUAAAACACUGUUUUUUUCAACUUUUCAUAUCGUUGUUUGAAUCUGUAUGAAUCUGUAUUUUUAUUUUAUUGUUUAUGUAUAUAUAUGAACCUAUACAUACAUGUUUUACUAAAUACUAAGUCCUCAAUGAAGUUGUUUUCCUGUAUGUAUAUUUGGAUUUUUUUUUUCCUAGAAGUAAAUGAGAUGUAGCCGAUCACUUGGCAGAACCACUGCGGGUGAGAAUGGACAUUGUGUAACAUUGUUAAUAAACGAUUUACCAUAUGUUUUACAUUAGCCUGGGAUGACUUAAUCUUUACUACUCAUAUGCUGUCAAUAAAGUCAGUCUAUCACCGGAGGGUGCCUCUCGCAGUUAUGUAAAGGAGUCACUGCGGGGUCAAGGGUCACGCCCUCAUGCAGCAUGCAUGGUUUGUGUUGAUGAUCAAUGACUCUACAGUGACGAGGUCUGGCAGCUCUGCAACAAAUCUCAAAAUAACAAAAAUGUAAGCAAUGCCGACCACAAUGUGCGGAAUAUUCAAGAUACCGCAAAAGUG
ensembl:lncRNA